GACGAACGCUGGCGGCGUGCUUAACACAUGCAAGUCGAGCGGUAAGGCCCUUUCGGGGUACGACGAGCGGCGAACGGGUAGGAGUAACAACGUGGGUGGACCUCGCCCUCCAGCUCUGGGAGUAAGACCUCGGGAAACCGGGGUACCGUAAUAACCGGAGUAUGACUCCAUGACGCAUGUUGUGGGGUGGGAAAGACCUU
rnacentral:rRNA from 1 species